UUUUUUCAGAUAGUAUACAACUACUACUCGCCUUCGUUCAAAUUUUGAUUUGAGAUUUUGACAAAAACCCACCGGGCAGUUAUAAUACAGGGAAAGCCAGGUGUCACGGCAAAAAUGGGGUUAUGCAAAUAUUGCAAUAAAAACUUUGAUGAAAAUCUAUUGGCUAAGCACGAAUCAGUUUGCGCUAACUAAAGCACUGUAACGAGAAAAAUUUUUGCCCCGUCAAAAUCUCGGAUUAAUAUUGUGGAAAGCUUAAUGCGCAAUGCUGUACAUUCCAAAUCGGAGUCUUGUAACAACUGGCGAGCACUUCUCGCAAAUGUUGAAGAAGCAAGAACGGUCCAAUCAUUCACACCUUGGGGAAGUGCUGAAAACCAUCACACAAGGACAUAUCCAAAACGCAUAUUCCAUUUUGCGAGAGCGCAGUAUUUGCACCUGCCACCGAAAAAGGUACAAAAAAAUUUGAAGUAGGUUUCGAUUCCAAGAAGUGCCAGUGAAGUGAUUCUAAAUGGUUCCGGCCCAGACGCAGAUAUUUGAUCAAAACUAUAUAAAAAAGUACACAUAAUCUAAACUAUGAUUAAUGUAUAUAUACCAGUGACAUGAUAAAAGAUUAAAUAUUAAAAUAUGUGCAGAUGUGCUUUAUCCUUUAGUAAAAGUGUAUAUAACAUAUUAUUAAGGAUCAUGAAAUAACCAUAGCUUAAAAUGUACAUGGUAGAAUCAUAUAACAUAUAUACAAGUGGUAAUAAUUAAUAUUUUGCCAGAAAAAUAAAAA